CAGUCGCCACGGUAAUACGGAGGGGGCUAGCGUUGUUCGGAAUUACUGGGCGUAAAGCGCACGUAGGCGGAUAUUUAAGUCAGGGGUGAAAUCCCGCAGCUCAACUGCGGAACUGCCUUUGAUACUGGGUAUCUCGAGUCCGGAAGAGGUGAGUGGAAUUCCGAGUGUAGAGGUGAAAUUCGUAGAUAUUCGGAGGAACACCAGUGGCGAAGGCGGCUCACUGGUCCGGUACUGACGCUGAGGUGCGAAAGCGUGUGGAGCAAACAGGAUUAGAUACCCCUGUAGUCCCUGUCUCUUAUAA
rnacentral:rRNA from 1 species